AAAGUCGUAACAAGGUAACCGUAGGUGAACCUGCGGUUGGAUCAUUAACAAUCCAGAAAAGGGGUCGCAAGAUGCCCUUUUCGACUUGGCCUCGCGCCUUGAACCCAAUGUGAAUUGUGAUUGUCUCUGGCUCAGAGUAUGACUUUUGGCCAGGUAAUUCUUGAACCUGAUUUUGUUUGUCUUAUGAAAUUCUUAAUGAAUACAACUUUUGACAAUGGAUCUCUAGGCUCUC
rnacentral:misc_RNA from 1 species